UGCAGUCUAUGUUGGAGAGAGCCAAAAGAAAAGAUUCACACUUCCAAUUUCAUUCUUGAAUCAACCAUCAUUCCAAGGAUUGCU
rnacentral:sRNA from 1 species